AGACGAGAAGACCCUGUGGAGCUUUAGACCUAAAAUAAACCACGUUUAAUAUACUAAAAUUAAUAGCAAAAACUUAGUGGACAUUUAUUUAAGUGUCUUUGGUUGGGGCGACCGCGGAGUAAAACACAACCUCCAUGUGGACGGGGAUACUAUCCCUAAAACUCAGAGCCUCCACUCCAAGCAACAGAAAUUCUGACCUCACUGAUCCGGUACAGCCGAUUAACGAACCCAGUUACCCCAGGGAUAACAGCGCAAUCCCCUCUCAGAGCUCAUAUCGACGAGGGGGUUUACGACCUCGAUGUUGGAUCAGGACAU
rnacentral:rRNA from 1 species